CGCCCUUAGAGUUUGAUCAUGGCUCAGGACGAACGCUGGCGGCGUGCCUAAUACAUGCAAGUUGAGCGUUGGUACUUGUACCAAGAGCAGCGAACGGGUGAGUAACGCGUGGGGAAUCUGCCUUUGAGCGGGGGACAACAUUUGGAAACGAAUGCUAAUACCGCAUAAAAACUUAACACAAGUUUAAGUUGAAAGAUGAUUGCAUCACUCAAAGAUGAUCCCGCGUUGUAUUAGCUAGUUGGUGAGGCAAAGGCUCACCAAGGCGAUGAUACAUAGCCGACCUGAGAGGGUGAUCGGCCACAUUGGGACUGAGACACGGCCCAAACUCCUACGGGAGGCAGCAGUAGGGAAUCUUCGGCAAUGGACGAAAGUCUGACCGAGCAACGCCGCGUGAGUGAAGAAGGUUUUCGGAUCGUAAAACUCUGUUGGUAGAGAAGAACGUUGGUGAGGAAACUCAUCAAGUGACGGUAACUACCCAGAAAGGGACGGCUAACUACGUGCCAGCAGCCGCGGUAAUACGUAGGUCCCGAGCGUUGUCCGGAUUUAUUGGGCGUAAAGCGAGCGCAGUGGUUUAUUAAGUCUGGUGUAAAAGGCAGUGGCUCAACCAUUGUAUGCAUUGGAAACUGGUAGACUUGAGUGCAGGAGAGGAGAGUGGAAUUCCAUGUGUAGCGGUGAAAUGCGUAGAUAUAUGGAGGAACACCGGUGGCGAAAGCGGCUCUCUGG
rnacentral:rRNA from 1 species